AACAGCUGCUCUGUUGUGGCCGUAAACAGUUUAACACUUGCCUGCAUGGAUAGUAACGUUAGCAGCAGGAGGUGUCGGCACCAGGAUAAUGUGUAGCACACGGACAUAGAGACCUGUGAACGCUGCUAAACCCGGUCUACGGAUGAAGGGCUCAAAGAAAGUUCCAAGUCCUGGAGAGACUGAAGGGUAUCUCCAAUGGGUUAUAUAUGCUAUUGGUUUAGUGUUAGAUUUGGUUGUGGGACGAUAAAAAUAUUGUUAAAAGUAACAAUGCAUUGACCUAGAACAUGCAUAGCCAACCUUGCUCCUAGAGAUCUAGCUAUUGGGAGCGCAGGUUUCUGUUCCAGCCCUGACAUUCUGCAUAUUAUUCAAUUAACUAUUCAAUCAUCUCGUUUUGGAGUAAGAUGGAUGUCUAAACCCGCGAACCCUUUACCAUCUUUGUAUGAUAUGAAAUAAAGUGUUGAUUCUUUGAAUUAA